rnacentral:rRNA from 1 species
AAGGCGAUGAUGGGUAGCCGGCCUGAGAGGGUGACCGGUCACAUNGGAANUGAGACNCGNUCCAGACUNCUACGGGAGGCAGCAGGCUAGAAAAUUGGGCAAUGGGCGCAAGCCUGACCCAGCGACGCCGCGUGAGUGAUGAAGGCUUUCGGGUCGUAAAACUCUGUUAGAAGGGAAGAUGGGAUGUAAUGUUAAUACCAUUGCAUUCUGACGUUGUACCUUCAUAGGAAGCUCCGGCUAACUCCGUGCCAGCAGCCGCGGUAAUACGGAGGGAGCAAGCGUUGUCCGGAAUCACUGGGCGUAAAGGGAGCGUAGGUGGACAGGUAAGUUAGAUGUGAAAUCUUACAGCUCAACUGUAAAAUUGCAUCUAAUACUGCUUGUCUUGAGUGCAGAAGGGGAGAGCGGAACUCCUAGUGUAGCGGUGGAAUGCGCAGAUAUUAGGAGGAACACCGGUGGCGAAGGCGGCUCUCUGGUCUGUAACUGACACUGAAGCUCGAAAGUUAGGGUAGCAAACAGGAUUAGAUACCCUGGUAGUCCUAACCGUAAACGAUGGGCACUAGGCGUGGGGUUUACUCCGUGCCGCAGUUAACGCGUUAAGUGCCCCGCCUGGGGAGUACGGUCGCAAGACUGAAACUCAAAGGAAUUGACGGGACCCCGCACAAGCGGUGGAGGAUGUGGUUCAAUUCGAAGCUACGCGAAGAACCUUACCCGGGCUUGACAUCCCGAGAAUCUUCUGGAAACAGAGGAGUGCCCCUCGGGGAGCUUGGAGACAGGUGCUGCAUGGCUGUCGUCAGCUCGUGCCGUGAGGUGUUGGGUUAAGUCCCGCAACGAGCGCAACCCU